UGACAGUUAAAUAAUAAUAGUUUGAUAUGAAAUAGUAAUAGGAUACCUAUUACUUUAGAUAAGUAAAAUUUAAGUUAUGUUGUAAGGAAACUAGAGAAAUCUUUGUAACCGGCAGUUCUUUCGUUGGCUAUUGUUAAAUUCAUGAUAUAAGCAAUGUCAUUGGUUGAUAAGAAAAUCCACAGUGUUUUCUCCAUGGACAUCAAACAUUUAGAAGAAAAAGGACUCACAGCAGAAGAUGUAGAUAAAAAAUGGAGACACCAUUUAGUUAUUUGGUUAAUGAUGAUCGCUAUAAUUUUAUGGAUAUGCACAUAUAUAACAGUUUUAUCGUUACUAACAUUUGUUGACUUUGGAAUUUCUACAAGAACAAUUCUAAAAGAGGCUUUAUUUUGUUCAAAUGGCACUAAUAGAACCUGAUCUGACAAAUUCUUUACUAUGUGUGAGUUUUAAUAUUUGUGGUUGUUUUUCUUGUUGUACAGUACACAUAAUUACUCUUCUUA